AGAGGAUCCGUCCACGCUCCCUGCGCCGCGCACCCGCACCCCCUACUGACCUCGCUGCUCCCCAUCCCUUGACCUCCCCCCCCUUUUACCCCCUGCUUUCUGCAGCGCCCCAGCCAUGACAUACCUCCACCUCCGGCGAACAGCGGGGCGGUUGAGAGAAAAGGGGGAAAGAAGGAGCAAACCAUCCAGGACCUCUCAUUCCCCGUCUCCACCACUUUUUACAAAACGGGGAGGGGGGAGAUUCUUAGAACACAACCAUUAGGGAACUUUGAGUUCCGUGUCUUCUUCUUUCCAACUCCUUACUUUUUUUUUUUCUCUGUAAUUCACUCCCCAGCAGGAUUGAAGUUGUGCAGGAGCAAGGAAAAGAGCGGACCAAACCCACUCCAGCCUUCUGCACCCGAGAAUCGCCCGCCACGCGCCCCCUGAAGCCCCUGCCCUGAUUCCGCUGUCCCUCCGAUUUGCCCCGCUGCAGCCCACGGGACUCCGGACGUUCUGUAUUUUCUUUGGCCCCGUCGUGCCCAGGCGGAAAGACGGGGUGGGGGAGGAGGGAGGAGGGGAGGAAGAGGAAAACAGAAAGGGAAGCCACGGACGGUCCUGCCACUCUCAAGCACCGUACAUCUCCCAGUCUUGCCUUCCCCCCCCCCCGCCGAAAAAAACCGGGCAAGGUCGAAAGAACGCCCCGUCUGCAAAACCCCUCCGGGCUGCUUCGGUCCUGUCGACUGCCUUCACUUCUUUUCCGGCAGCCGCGGGAGCGCACCUCUCUCGAGCUCCCGGGCGUCGCGCUUCAGCGCCGGGCGCCCCUUCCAGGGAAGCGUGGAGGACGGUAAGGAGACNAGAAGACUAGGGAAGGAGUCCCCAUCUCUUGCGCGGCCAGAGAAGCGUGGGCUCCCUUGGCAGGGUCGGAUCGGGAGCCUUCUCCUCCUCCUCCUCCUCCUCCUCCGUUCUGCUUGCCCUGUCUCCGUCUCCUUCUACAGUGGCCAAGAGCUUGCCUCUGGGGAGCGCCCAACGCUCUGGGCAUCAUUCUGCGAGGGCACAGCUGCAGUUGGCAUUUCCCUCCUACGCUCUGGCUGCUCUAGUCGAUCUUCCGCUCCUGUUGCAAAGGUGUAG
rnacentral:lncRNA from 1 species